AGAGUUUGAUCCUGGCUCAGAUUGAACGCUGGCGGCAUGCCUUACACAUGCAAGUCGAACGGCAGCACGGGAGCAGUCCUGGUGGCGAGUGGCGAACGGGUGAGUAACGUAUCGGAACGUACCAUUCAGUGGGGGAUAACGUAGCGAAAGUUACGCUAAUACCGCAUAUUCUGUGAGCAGGAAAGCAGGGGAUCGCAAGACCUUGCGCUGAUUGAGCGGCCGAUAUCAGAUUAGCUAGUUGGUGAGGUAAAGGCUCACCAAGGCGACGAUCUGUAGCGGGUCUGAGAGGAUGAUCCGCCACACUGGAACUGAGACACGGUCCAGACUCCUACGGGAGGCAGCAGUGGGGAAUUUUGGACAAUGGGCGCAAGCCUGAUCCAGCCAUGCCGCGUGAGUGAAGAAGGCCUUCGGGUUGU
rnacentral:rRNA from 1 species